rnacentral:rRNA from 1 species
UACAUGUGGGGCAAGCGUUGUUCGGAAUUACUGGGCAUAAGGGGUGCGUAGGCGGCUGGUUAAGUCGGGGGUGAAAGUUUUCGGCCCAACCGGAAAAUUGCCUUUGAUACUGGCGAGCUCGAGUGCGUGAGGGGUAACCGGAACGAGUGGUGUAGCGGUGAAAUGCGUAGAUAUCACUCGGAAGGCCAAAGGCGAAGGCAGGUUACUGGUACGCAACUGACGCUGAGGCACGAAAGCGUGGGGAGCAAACAGG